rnacentral:rRNA from 1 species
AGAAUCAACGCUGGCGGCGUGCCUAACACAUGCAAGUCGAACGAGAAAGUGGAGCAAUCCAUGAGUAAAGUGGCGCACGGGUGAGUAACACGUGACUAACCUACCCUUGAGUGGGGAAUAACUUCGGGAAACCGAGGCUAAUACCGCAUAACACCUACGGGUCAAAGGAGCAAUUCGCUUAAGGAGGGGGUCGCGGCAGAUUAGUUAGUUGGCGGGGUAAUGGCCCACCAAGACGGUGAUCUGUAUCCGGCCUGAGAGGGCGCACGGACACACUGGAACUGAAACACGGUCCAGACUCCUACGGGAGGCAGCAGUGGGGAAUUUGCGCAAUGGGGGAAACCCUGACGCAGCAACGCCGCGUGGAGGAUGAAGUCCCUUGGGACGUAAACUCCUUUCGAUCGGGACGAUUAUGACGGUACCGGAAGAAGAAGCCCCGGCUAACUCCGUGCCAGCAGCCGC